rnacentral:rRNA from 1 species
UACAGAGGGUGCAAGCGUUGUUCGGAAUUAUUGGGCGUAAAGCGCGUGUAGGCGGCUUGGCAAGUCGGGUGUGAAAGCCCUCAGCUCAACUGAGGAAGUGCGCCCGAAACUGCUGAGCUUGAGUGUCGGAGAGGGUGGCGGAAUUCCCCAAGUAGAGGUGAAAUUCGUAGAUAUGGGGAGGAACACCGGUGGCGAAGGCGGCCACCUGGACGACUACUGACGCUGAGACGCGAAAGCGUGGGGAGCAAACAGG